ACUCUCCGUGCCAGGGCUAGUACUGGCUAAGGAGUGAGGCGGGAGCACCCGUGACUCAGACCCAUGAUGUCAGACCCUUCACAAUCAGGUCACUGUCAGUACACACGACACGACAAGCAGUGGCACUGAGAGUCAAUCGAGGUGCCACAGCUAAAGAGGACGGAGCUAGUGGCACAAAGAACUCUCCAGAGGGACUACUACUCCGCUAGGGCGCGCCCUUUGGGUAUCUCCCUUCGGAGUGACCCGGGAUGCAACUGAGCCCAUGAAGAUAAGAGAUUUUUUUUAAAGCCCGUGUUAUAUUGAAGAUUCCUGGAGACACCAUCUCUAAGUACCUGAACCUCAAGUACUCAAUGAGUCGGGCCUUGCUACCCUCGUGACUUGACUGGACAGAAAGGAACUGGCGCAUUGUAUUUACCGGGACCGGCAAGGUUCCCCACAGAGCUUCAAGCUAUGGGACAGCUUCACAUGCAAAUGCAGAGGGAAGAAAAAACACUGAAAAUAAAAUUUAGACGAGAGGCGCCUGGACUUGCACCUGCGCGUUAUCAUGUGCUCUUCCACUUUGGGCUUCAGACUGUCUAGAGUCCAUGGGGCAAUUGGAACGGGUGUGUCCUGACUGAACCCCUAAAUAAGACAUGAUAUGGCAGGACAACAUCCAACAUGCAGGCCUCAGACCUAUGUAUCCACACUGAACCACCUUUAAGCAAUGGCAGAACCAAAUCCGUGCCCAGGACAAUGGGACUGGAUUGGAUGGCCCUUGUUUCAGUCAUGUCCCCCUCUCCCUGUGGUGGUGCAAGGACUUGGGAAGCAGAGGCAGGUGGAUAUCUGUGAGUUCGAGGCCAGCCCAGUCUACACAGCAAAUGCCAGAGCAGCCCGUCUACACAUAGAGACCCUGUCUUAAAAACAACGCAAAACAAAACCCAAGCAAUCCUUCUUUCCCCUGCCAUUAGAAAUGGGUUGCAGGUGGGUGUGGUGGCGUGCCUACCGGCCUGUGGUGACAUACCUGCCUGUAGUCCCAGCACUCUGGAGGCUGAAGCAGGAAGAUCCAGAGUUCGAGGCAAGCAUAGUUGACGUGCUCCCUAUCUCAAAAAUAAAAUUAAUUUCUAGCA